CCUGAACUCAGACGUGAGUACCCGCUGAACUUAAGCAUAUCAGUAAGCGGAGACGAGACCCCUCCGG
rnacentral:rRNA from 1 species